ACUAACAAGGAUUCCCCUAGUAACUGCGAGUGAACCGGGAAAAGCUCAAAUUUUGAAUCUGGCGGUCUUCAGGCCGUCCGAGUUGUAAUCUAGAGAAGCGUCUUCCGCGCUGGACCGUGUAUAAGUUUCCUGGAAUGGAACGUCGUAGAGGGUGAGAAUCCCGUCUUUGACACGGACUGCCAGGGCUAUGUGAUGCGCUCUCGACGAGUCGAGUUGUUUGGGAAUGCAGCUCAAAUAGGGUGGUAAAUUCCAUCUAAAGCUAAAUACAGGCGAGAGACCGAUAGCGAACAAGUACCGUGAGGGAAAGAUGAAAAGAACUUUGGAAAGAGAGUUAAACAGUACGUGAAAUUGCUGAAAGGGAAACGCUUGAUGUCAGUCGCGUCGGCCGGGGAUCAGCCUUGCUCUUUUGCUCGGUGUAUUUCCUGGCAGACGGGUCAGCAUCGGUUUUGACCGUCGGAAAAUGGCUGGAGGAAUGUGGCACUCCUCGGAGUGUGUUAUAGACUCUGGUCGAAUACGACGAUUGGGACCGAGGAACUCAGCACGACCUUAGGGUUCGGGGCUUCGGCCCACGUUAACGUGCUUAGGAUGCUGGCAUAAUGGCCUUAAGCGACCCGUC
rnacentral:rRNA from 1 species